AUUGAACGCUGGCGGCAUGCCUUACACAUGCAAGUCGAACGGCAGCGGACCUUCGGGUGCCGGCGAGUGGCGAACGGGUGAGUAAUAUAUCGGAACGUACCUUUCAGUGGGGGAUAACGUAGCGAAAGUUACGCUAAUACCGCAUAUUCUGUGAGCAGGAAAGCAGGGGAUCGCAAGACCUUGCGCUGAUUGAGCGGCCGAUAUCAGAUUAGCUAGUUGGUGAGGUAAAGGCUCACCAAGGCGACGAUCUGUAGCGGGUCUGAGAGGAUGAUCCGCCACACUGGAACUGAGACACGGUCCAGGACUCCUACGGGAGGCGGCAGUGGGGAAUUUUGGACAAUGGGCGCAAGCCUGAUCCAGCCAUGCCGCGUGAGUGAAGAAGGCC
rnacentral:rRNA from 1 species